GGGGUUCAUUACCUUCCCCGGGAGCUAAAAGGGCCAACGACACAAAACAACAAUAGGAGAGGAAAUGCUGCCGACCAAAUGACGCAGGUGACUUGAUAGAACGUGACGCCCGCGGGAGAAAAAAAAAUUGCUGUUUUGAAGUCCGCUGAGCGCGAUUAGCCAACGGGCUCAGUCUCCCGAGUCACAGGUGUAAACCGAGAGGGGCUGAGAAAUCACACGUCCUUAAUUGUUCUGCUGAGAACAGCUUUUUUUUCUUUCUUUGUGUCUGUCAAAAGUUGAAACCGUGUUUGUCGACAGCACUGGGAUUUUAUUUUGCCUCCACCUCCGAUGGUUGCAGCAAUUCCGACCUCACGAAUGCUCAUCUGUGCAAAGCCAGGGGACAUGUUUAUAUAUUUAAUAGGCAGACACCCAGCGAAAGUAAGGACAGCGCCGGAGGAUCAGCCACUGUUGACAGCAGCAUGGAGACAACUCAUAAGGAGCUAGCAGCGUGCAUCCUCCGUUGUUUGACCUCUGUGAUUACUUACGACCCCGCUGCACAUAAUCUCCUGAACAUCCUGAAGAACAACCGGGCCUCGACGGCCAUGUGCCUUGAUAAUCUCCACCCGGCACGGCCCGGCGUCUGAAGUUCUUCCCCGCCACGGGGCUUCGUCGUCUGCCCUGCUCGCUGUUAGGGUCACAGGCCAGAUACGGUAAAUGCACACCGUGACAACUGCCGACGCAACAAGGGCUUCGGAGGACAUAGUUCACUGACCGACAUCGUUCCUGACUCACGGCGUCAGGAAGCGCGAACGACGUCGCCGGCAGGAGAACGUAAUAGCUGUAUGGUGUGGGAGGGAAUACACACAGCACAGAAGCAUCUAAGUAAUUAUACUGUAUUACAACGUCCACGUCCAAACAAAUGUGCCCAUGGGAAAUAAUACAACACACAAUCCCAAGCCAAAAAAGGUGUGUACUGAAAGUGUAUUGCCAUGGAGCGUUGUACUUCAUCACAGUAAAUAGUAUUCAAAUAGGGUUACUGUACUAUUUAAAUAAAAAUAGGUAUACCUCAGUAAGUUAAAAUGGACCCACUUACUUAUUUAAUAUACUUUUAACACAUGAUCAAAAAUAGCAUAGUAGUACUCUUGCUUAUAUAUACCUAGAAUCCAUUUCAAAUAUAUCAUAUAUUUUGAAAUACUUUAGGGGUAAAUUCUCAGUCUUCUGCUGCAAGGAUUCUGAAACAAGCUAAAAUGUUCGCCCACAGAACAUCAUCUUUACAAAUCUUUGUUGGAAAGAAUUGACUUAAAAACGUAUGUUUUUCAAAGCCCUACACGACCAGGGCACUCUAGCUGUCUGAUACACGUUGCCCCCAUGAAUCUCCACGCAACCAAUGGUUUUAAAGAUACCUUUCCUUUUUUUGCACUUUCCAAUUAUUGCUGCAUAAUGAAAAGUGAUUUACAAAUGUAAUAAAUAAUUAGGAAUGGAUUAUUAUCGAUAUAAUUACACUCGAAUUUCAGUCACUGGCCAUAGCUGCUUCCAGAGGAAGCAUUAGUGUUGAUCUCCUUUGGCUGGAGCGCUUGGUUUACAUGAUUAUCAUGGUAAAGGCCUUCUGGGAUGACCCAGCUCCUGUCGUUUUCCAGCUAUGUAAUCUUCUUAGGAUAAUAAUGGCUGACAGUAUUUGUAAUCGCUCUCUCUCUCUACCUUUCUCCUUCGCCCUUCCUGUCUUACAUGCUCUCUCUUCCUGUCUCACUACCACUCUCUCCCAUCUCCGAUGUAAAAAUGUCAUUGCGAUCUCUCUUUCUCUCUCUGUACUGUAACACACAAGCAGUGGGAUGCAUAGACCCUUUGAGAGCAAGAAGCGUUCACUCGCACUCUCUCCCCCUUUCUCUCCCUCUCUCUCCCCCUUUCUCUCCCUCUCUCCCGUCUUUCUCUCCCUCUGCGGUAGAAUGUAUUAUGGCAAUUCAGAGGAUUAAUCCAUGUCAAGGUAUUGUAAACAGCAUACCUGACAUUUAUAUGUUAUGUAUGAAUCCACUCUGGACUAAUUUCCUUUGCCUCAUUAUGUGUGUGUGUUUGUCUGUGUGUGUGUGUGUGUUGAAGGUCUGUGGAUAGAUUAUUUUGUGAAAUAAUCUCUUUCACACGCUGUCCCAAAUACUGUUUCAUUUAAAAGCAACCGGAAUUCAUAUAUUUCUGGGGCGAGUCAAAAACAUGACUUGACUUGCCCAGCAACUACGUUUCAAUGAAAAGGUUUUUGAGUCUCAUCUUGUUCUACUCCAUUAAUAGUCCUGUAUAUGUUCAAGUACAUGCAGUUCCUGUUUACAGCUGAAAGCUGAUAACAGGCUGAAUAAGGUCCAAAGCCACACAUGUAACUAACAACACGACAGUCUGUAAGUGAACAGAUGUUGACCUGAAUAUUCUUGUAAAACUGAGUUAAAUGUACUUGCUGCUAAGAGUAUCUUUAUUUAGACUUCUCAACCAUGCUAUAUUGUUUUAGCUUUAAAAGAUUGAAAACAUACACCUACUUGAAUUCCGAAACUAUGACUACAGAGCCCUCCUAUAAUUAUUUGGAAAAUAAACAUUUGUCUUGUUCUUUUGGCUCCACACUCCUAACUUUGGAUUUGAAAUCAAACAUUUGAAAAAGCUGAUAAAUGCCUUGAGACAAUAUGCAAGCUUGAAUAAAGAACCAAAUUGUUACAAGCAAGAACAA
ensembl:lncRNA